AACGAACGCUGGCGGCAGGCUUAACACAUGCAAGUCGAGCGCCCCGCAAGGGGAGCGGCAGACGGGUGAGUAACGCGUGGGAAUCUACCCAUCUCUACGGAACAACUCCGGGAAACUGGAGCUAAUACCGUAUACGCCCUACGGGGGAAAGAUUUAUCGGAGAUGGAUGAGCCCGCGUUGGAUUAGCUAGUUGGUGGGGUAAUGGCCUACCAAGGCGACGAUCCAUAGCUGGUCUGAGAGGAUGAUCAGCCACACUGGGACUGAGACACGGCCCAGACUCCUACGGGAGGCAGCAGUGGGGAAUAUUGGACAAUGGGCGAAAGCCUGAUCCAGCCAUGCCGCGUGAGUGAUGAAGGCCCUAGGGUUGUAAAGCUCUUUCUCAGGUGAAGAUAAUGACGGUAACCUGAGAAGAAGCCCCGGCUAACUUCGUGCCAGCCGCCGCGGUAAUAC
rnacentral:rRNA from 1 species